rnacentral:rRNA from 1 species
CGAUCCCAUUCCGAACUCGGAAGUUAAGCCCGCCAUCGCCGAAAGUACUGCGGAGCCAGUCCGUGGGAGGAUAGGGCGUCGCGCUCG